CAUGGUGCUAGAAUCACCUGAGAGUACACUGGAUAUUAAUUUCCGCGUGAAACAUGAGGGAAGGUUGGGUGGGAGCUGGGUCUGUCUCUCUCUCUGUCUCUCUCUCCCUCUCUCUCUCUUUCUCUCUCUCUGUCUGUCUGUCUGUCUGUCUCUCUCUGUGACACAAGGUGGAAAAUAUCUGAAAGUUCUCCCUUUGAUGUCAACAGUUCUCCCUUUGAUGUCAACAGAUCUCACUUUGAUGUCAACAGUUCUACCUUUGAUGUCAACAGUUCUACCUUUGAUGUCAACAGUUCUACCUUUGAUGUCAACAGUUCUCCCUUUGAUGUCAACAGUUCUACCUUUGAUGUCAACAGUUCUCACUUUGAUGUCAACAGUUCUCACUUUGAUCCAUCAGUGACCUCAUUAUGACGUCAUUGAGUUUCCAGCAGAGAGACUAUAAGUACGAGCUGUGCCGCUAUCAGUCUAACUUCCACACUCCCACAGAGGACAGGUGGAGAGCUCUGAAGCCCGGACAGACCCCGGGUUGAGGCUGUGGACGAUGGGCCUCAGAGCCAGGUGCUGCCGCUGAGCUUCCAGCUCGCGGUGCGCCUUGUUGCUCACGUCCUGCCAGCGCACGGACAGCCCUCGCGCUUCUGUAAAGGUGGCAGGAUAGGCUCCAGUAGGAGCUCCAGAGCUUUCCAGUGUCCUCGGUGGGAGCUGGGUCUCUCUCUCUCU